rnacentral:tRNA from 1 species
CUAGUAAGGUCAGCUAAUU